UACGGAGGGUGCGAGCGUUGUCCGGAAUCACUGGGCGUAAAGGGCGCGUAGGCGGCUCUGCAAGCGUGUGGUGAAAGUCCGGGGCUCAACCCCGGAUCGGCCGUGCGGACUGUGGGGCUGGAGCACUGUAGAGGCGAGCGGAAUUCCGGGUGUAGCGGUGGAAUGCGUAGAGAUCCGGAAGAACACCGGUGGCGAAGGCGGCUCGCUGGGCAGGAAGAUCGUCGCAAGACGAUCGGCUGACGCUGAGGCGCGACAGCGUGGGGAGCAAACAGG
rnacentral:rRNA from 1 species